UACGGAGGGUGCAAGCGUUAUCCGGAUUCACUGGGUUUAAAGGGUGCGUAGGUGGCUUUGUAAGUCAGUGGUGAAAGCCCGGGGCUCAACUCCGGAACUGCCAUUGAUACUGCUUAGCUUGAAUCAGGUCGAGGUGGAUGGAAUGUGACAUGUAGCGGUGAAAUGCUUAGAUAUGUUACAGAACACCGAUUGCGAAGGCAGUUCACUAGGCCUGUAUUGACACUGAGGCACGAAAGCGUGGGGAUCAAACAGG
rnacentral:rRNA from 1 species